AAUGAACGCUGGCGGCAGGCCUAACACAUGCAAGUCGAACGGAUCCUUCGGGAUUAGUGGCGGACGGGUGAGUAACGCGUGGGAACAUACCCUUUGGUACGGAAUAGCCUCGGGAAACUGGGAGUAAUACCGUAUGUGGUCGAGAGACGAAAGAUUUAUCGCCAAAGGAUUGGCCCGCGUUGGAUUAGGUAGUUGGUGGGGUAAUGGCCUACCAAGCCGACGAUCCAUAGCUGGUUUGAGAGGAUGAUCAGCCACACUGGGACUGAGACGCGGCCCAGACUCCUACGGGAGGCAGCAGUGGUGAAUCUUAGACAAUGGGGGAAACCCUGAUCUAGCCAUGCCGCGUGAUCGAUGUAGGCCUUAGGGUUGUAAAGAUCUUUCAGGUGGGAAGAUAAUGACUGUACCACCAGAAGAAGCCCCGGCUAACUCCGUGCCAGCCGCCGCCGUAA
rnacentral:rRNA from 1 species